CCUCUCUUAGUUCAAUUUGGCAGAACGUGGGUCUCCAAAAACCUGAUGUCGUAUGUUCAAAUCCUAUAGAGCAUGA